rnacentral:rRNA from 1 species
UACGGAGGAUCCAAGCGUUAUCCGGAAUCAUUGGGUUUAAAGGGUCCGUAGGCGGUUUUGUAAGUCAGUGGUGAAAGCCCAUCGCUCAACGGUGGAACGGCCAUUGAUACUGCAAGACUUGAAUUAUUAGGAAGUAACUAGAAUAUGUAGUGUAGCGGUGAAGUGCUUAGAGAUUACAUGGAAUACCAAUUGCGAAGGCAGGUUACUACUAAUGGAUUGACGCUGAUGGACGAAAGCGUGGGGAGCGAACAGG